UGGGAGGCUCCCCUCUGUCUGGACCAGAGGCUGGAGGGAGCGAAGAGCUGCAGGAUGCUAGAAGAAACAUCAUAAACAGAUGUGUUGUUAACAUACAAGUCUGCAUUGUGAUGUUAAGGUUAUCACCACUUUACUACUCAGCUGCACCUGUCGCAAACCAAGAUCAAAGCAUUGGCUUCAGGAGCACAUGAAACAGACGUAAUGGUCAGAAGCCGUCAGUCACUGCCCCCUUUAGUGUGGAGCAGGAUGAGGACUGCGGACAGCCAUGUGCCUUCUCCAUAACACAUGACACUGCAGUCAUCUGCCGCUGAGGAGCUUCAGUGGGAGACGAC